rnacentral:rRNA from 1 species
UAGGGAAUAUUGGUGAAUGGGCGAAAGCCUGAACCAGCAACGCCGCGUGUGCGAUGAAGGCCUUCGGGUUGUAAAGCACUUUUCACCGGGAAGAGGAAGGACGGUACCGGUGGAAUAAGCCUCGGCUAACUACGUGCCAGCAGCCGCGGUAAAACGUAGGAGGCGAGCGUUAUCCGGAUUUACUGGGUGUAAAGCGCGAGCAGGCGGCUCGUUAAGUUGGGUGUAAAAGCUCCCGGCUCAACUGGGAGAAGUCGCUCAAGACUGGCGAGCUAGAGGGUGGUAGAGGAAGGUGGAAUUCCGGGUGUAGUGGUGAAAUGCGUAGAUAUCCGGAGGAACACCAGUGGCGAAAGCGGCCUUCUGGGCCACACCUGACGCUCAGAGGCGAAAGCUAGGGUAGCAAACGG